rnacentral:rRNA from 1 species
UGGGGAAUAUUGCACAAUGGGCGCAAGCCUGAUGCAGCAACGCCGCGUGAGGGAUGACGGCCUUCGGGUUGUAAACCUCUUUUAGCAGGGAAGAAGCGAAAGUGACGGUACCUGCAGAAAAAGCACCGGCUAACUACGUGCCAGCAGCCGCGGUAAUACGUAGGGUGCAAGCGUUGUCCGGAAUUAUUGGGCGUAAAGAGCUCGUAGGCGGUCUGUCGCGUCUGCUGUGAAAUCCCCGAGGCUCGACCUCGGGCCUGCAGUGGGUACGGGCAGACUAGAGUGCGGUAGGGGAGAAUGGAACUCCUGGUGUAGCGGUGGAAUGCGCAGAUAUCAGGAAGAACACCGAUGGCGAAGGCAGUUCUCUGGGCCGUAACUGACGCUGAGGAGCGAAAGCGUGGGGAGCGAACAGGAUUAGAUACCCUGGUAGUCCACGCCGUAAACGUUGGGCGCUAGAUGUGGGGACCAUUCCACGGUUUCCGUGUCGCAGCUAACGCAUUAAGCGCCCCGCCUGGGGAGUACGGCCGCAAGGCUAAAACU